rnacentral:rRNA from 1 species
UACGUAGGGUGCGAGCGUUGUCCGGAAUUAUUGGGCGUAAAGAGCUCGUAGGUGGCUUGUCGCGUCUGCCGUGAAAGCCCAUGGCUUAACUGUGGGUCUGCGGUGGAUACGGGCAGACUAGAGUUCGGCAGGGGAGACUGGAAUUCCUGGUGUAGCGGUGAAAUGCGCAGAUAUCAGGGGGAACACCGGUGGCGAAGGCGGGUCAGCUGGGCCGAUACUGACGCUGAGGAGCGAAAGCGUGGGGAGCGAACAGG